rnacentral:rRNA from 1 species
UACGAAGGGGGCUAGCGUUGCUCGGAAUCACUGGGCGUAAAGCGCACGUAGGCGGAUUGUUAAGUCAGGGGUGAAAUCCUGGAGCUCAACUCCAGAACUGCCUUGAUACUGGCGAUCGUUGAGUCCGGGAGAGGUGAGUGGAACUGCGAGUGUAGAGGUGAAAUUCGUAGAUAUUCGCAAGAACACCAGUGGCGAAGGCGGCUCACUGGCCCGGUACUGACGCUGAGGUGCGAAAGCG